rnacentral:tRNA from 1 species
GGGGCCAUAGCUCAGCUGGGAGAGCGCUACAUUCGCAUUGUAGAGGUCGCCGGUUCGAUCCCGGCUGGCUCCACCA